UUAGCAUUGGGUGAUUUGUAGACG
rnacentral:piRNA from 1 species